ensembl:lncRNA PAXBP1-AS1 PAXBP1 antisense RNA 1
GGGAGACCACGCCCACUCUGCGCCGACCGGCUGGGCCUGGCACCCGCGGGCGGCCCCAGCCUCAGUCUCCAGCUACCUUUGCCUCCUGCGGCCGCCCCCAGGCAGAGCUGCGAUCCCACCGCCGGGGGUGCAGGGAGAGGGAAGAUCUGGCCUCCUUGGUCCUUUUGCGUGGGCUCUUCAGAGCGUGAGCGCCGGGGAGGGACUCCGGAGAAAAGCUUGGGGGGCUGCGUAUUGCUGCUCCCCAAGCUGGGCGUCAGGACCAACCCCGCCGCCCCCACGGGCCUGACGGGAGAGGAGGAAGGGCUCGGGACGGUCGGCUCGCCGAGCCAACCAGGUGGCGCCUGAAGAGCUGUCCAUGGUGUCGACAGCCCAGCAAACGGCACCGAGUUCCUAGUCUGAGUGUCUGGAUAGGUAGCAGAAGAAAAACUAAUGCCUGCUCUGGGACAGUUCUGUUCGGUGCCUUUUCUUGUGUGUUCUGGAGCUCACAGGGUUCUAUCGAAGAGUGCUUAGGUGUAUACGAUGGAGAGUGGGACGUCACAAACCAGGAUCUCAAGGCUGAGUCCAACAAAACAUGGCCGUAGGGAGGCCACGACAGCUGUGGUUGUCACCGACGGAUGAAUAGCUUUUGCCAACCGUGGAAUUUAGUAACUAAAGGCACCUAACCCUUUUAUCUCAUCCUCAUUUUUCAACAAAUGGUGCUUCCUGGCUAAUAUCAGCGUGUCCCAUAGAUUUCUGCUUCCAUUGAAUAGACCUAAUAAGAAAGAGAAUGAAGUCAAAGCCAACAGGGCAGAAAGAAAUUGAAAACCUGAAGAACCCAGCACUCAAACUGUCUCCACUUGCGUUUGCUUUUUCUUUACCUCUUCUCCUUCUGGUUUUCAACAGCCAAAGCAGGAUUUAAAUUUGGUUAUGUUGCAAAAAUCAUUUCCCUCUUCAGGCCCUGUCAUGUGACUUGAUUUUUUCGUCCAUUUUAGAGAAGCUGUACCCACCCUGGUUUCAGGACACGGAACUAAAUUUAUUAGAAAAGAAGCCACUUCAAGUCAUGAAGGAGAAACACAAAGAUUCUUGGAUUUAGUUCUAAGAACUAGAGGGGAUUUCUAUGUCAGUACUGUCUCAGAAAAAACUGUUGAUAUCAAAUGUGUUGCUUGAGAAGUACCUUUUUUUUUUUGAGACGGAGUCUCGCUCUGUCCGCCCAGGCUAGAGUGCAGUGGCGCGAUCUCGGCUCACUGCAAGCUCCGCCUCCCGGGUUCACGCCGUUCUCCUGCCUCAGCCUCCCGAGUAGCUGGGAUUACAGGUGCCCACCACCACGCCCGGCUAAUUUUUGUAUUUUUAGUAGAGACAGGGUUUCACCGUGUUAGCCAGGAUGGUCUCGAUCUCCUGACCUCGUGAUCCACCCGCCUCGGCCUCCCAAAGUGCUGGGAUAACAGGCGUGAGCCAUCGCGCCCGGCCGAGAGGUACCUUUUAUGACAACUGAAAUCAUUCAGUUUCAAGAGGAGUUGGGUACUGAAACCAAACUUGCUUACUCCAAAGCCCAAAAUCCUUUCCACCAUGCCUGUGUGUCUGUAAGGCUACACUAGAAAUGCUUCCUUUCUUAUAGUGGGAAGCAUGGGUACUAAGCUCUUUUACGAACAAGUGUUCUGCAUAUUCCUGGUUCCUUUUUAUUUUGGACUGAGGAGAUUUAGGUCAAAAUUUCUGGGUUCUGGGUUGGAAUUCCAGCUUCUUUCUUCAAAUUAAACUGGGGGGUAGCAAGACUUAUUCCUAGAUUUGUUAGAAGGCCACAGCUUUUCCACAUCUCAUUUUAGUCAUGAAAAAGACACAUGCCCAGAGUUUGAAAAACAUAAAGGCAAUUUGACUAGUGGCUUGAUUGGUUCUAUCUUCUUUUUCUUGUCCCUCUUUCCUAUUUAUACUUCUACUUUUGUUACAGCAUUUGACAAUAGUUGGAAAAAUUUUCACUGACCUUGAAAUGUCUUUGGGAUAGGGUGACUUAAAAUAUAGGUUAAGUGGCAUACACAAACUUCUUAGUGAGAUCCUAAGGGCCUACAGAGACAGGCUGACACCAACUCAACCCUUGAAACUGUGCAAUGAAGAGCCUGUGGGAGGCUAAAAAACGCUACUUCAAAAAGAGAUCCUUGUCUGUGAAUGUUAAUUUAGGUUUACAGAUUUGAUUAAGGGUCUUGAGAUUAUUUUCAAUUAUCCAGGUGGGCCCUAGAGCCCUAGAUGCAAUCAUAAGUGUCCUUAUAACAGGGAGGCAGAGGAAAAUUAAACACGCACACAGGAGAGAGAGAGAGAGAAAAAAAAGUGAUGUGAAGACAGCAGCAGAGAUUGGAGCGAUGUGGCCAUAGCCAAGCUAUGUCAGCAGCCAUCAGAAGUUGGAAGAGGCAAGGAAGGAUUUGAGCCUAGAGCCUUUGGAAGGAGCAUGGCCCUGUUGGUUCUGGCCUCCAGAACUGCAAGAAAAUACAUUUUUGUUGUUUUAAACCACCCAGUUCAUGGUAAUUUGUAACACCAGCUACAAGAAAUUAACACAAGGCUGAUGUGACUUUCCAUCAGGAGAGAGACAGCCCCAGGAAAAAAUCUUCCUGUGACUUCCUACAACUUUUGGGAUAAGGACCAAAGUAUUUCAAAUGACCUACAAGAUCCUCUAUCAUCUGGACUAUGGACUUACUUGCUCACUCCAGCUGUCCUAUGCUUUCUUCAGCGCCUCCAGUGUAGCCUGCUCUCUUUCACCUCAGGGCUAACUUCUAUUUUUUCUCCAGGUCGAAUGAUCUAAAUAUCACUUCCUCAGGGUGGAAGGAAAUCUUCUGGGACUAGCUAGUCAAGGUCUCUGUGCCCCUUGUCAUAUGUUCCACAUUACCUUGAAUGUCCCCUUUCAUAACUCAUCACACCUGAGAUUACCUAUUUGUUGUCAACUGUGCUGGACUGUGAACUCCACAAAGAUUCCACUUCUAGCUUACUCAGUGCUAUAUCCCCGAACCUCAGAAGAGUAUCUGCUACAGCAGUACUCCUUAUCUGUGGUUUCAGUCAGCUGUGGCACAGUACAAUAACAUAUUUUGAGAGAGAAACUACAUUCAUAUAACCUUUACCACAGUAUAUUAUUAAUAACUGUUCUAUUAUUAGUUAUUGUUAAUCUCUUACUGUGCCUAAUUUAUAAGUUAAACUUUAUCAUAGGUAUGUAUGUAGAGGAAAAAACAGUAUAUAUAGGGUUCGGUACUAUCUGUGGUUUCAGGUAGCCACUGGGCAUCUUAGAACAUAUACCCCAUGGAUACAGGGAGGACUACUGUAGUCUACUUGCUGAAAAAAUUAAUUGUGGCUUAGUCAGGCAUUUCGUUGAGUACGAUGGACCUUACUUUGGAACUCAGAAAUCACUUUCUCCUGUGAAAAUAUCAAACUUGAAUGAACUUUUGGAAUAAAAUACUUUGUAAAAUGGAGAUUUUGGGUAUAGAUAUAAAUAGAUCUAAGCCUAUGGAGUUAAUAAAAAACAAAACACUCUAAAAAAUGUAAUAUAUGAAGUCAAACGAAAUCUGAGUCUUUUAGAUAGUCUAUGGACACGUACCUUAACUGAAGACCAAAACUGUCGUUGAAAAAACAAGUAAGGCCCAGAAUUUUUAUUUUCUAAGACACUAAGUAAAAAAAAGAGAAACAUAUCAUGAUCAGAUAUUUUAUAUGUAGGUGCCAUAUGAUUCCUG